AGUAUUGCUUGCUGAAGUGUACUGUUGGGACCAAGUUGAUAUCGCACUCUGUUGCAUAACAACAUACAUACAAUUAAAAAAAACUGGCAAUGGUAUAUGAGUUGAAAACCGUGUCUCUGAUGCAAAACAGAAAGUGUACUUAUAGCAUGUUGUUACAGACAUAAAGAAAUGAAAAACAUACUAAAAUGAGUAGUUCAUACAUUUUGGAGAGAAUUGGAACAGAAUAUUGACUUAUUGUCCAAGCUAUUUAAGCACUGUCGUUGCAAAAUCAAAAAUUGUUAACUCGAAUAAAAUAGACACAACUAAUAAACAAUAAGAAAUAUCAAGUAUAGUCUUAACGAUGUAAACUGUAAAACAAAAAAAACAAAAAAACAACGAGAAACUAUGACGACAAUGAA